GGCGAAGAAGGUCUUCGGAUUGUAAAGCUCUGUUGCCCGGGGAAAAAGGAAGGAAAGAGGAAAUGCUUUUCUUUGGAUGGUACCCGGCCAGAAAGUCACGGCUAACUACGUGCC
rnacentral:rRNA from 1 species